GAGAUGAGCAAGUCAGAUCCUAUAAGACAGUGUAAAUUCAUUCUAGCACACACUCUCUGCUAAGUUGUUGGAUGUCAUGAAUGAGGAAGGAACAAUCCUUUUUUAAAAAAAUUAAGGGUGAGAGUCACAGGAUGAAACCUAAGCAUUGCCAAGAUGAUAAUAAUUACCUGUUACAUGGGAACUUUGGGGAAAGCCAGAUGGUUCAAGGGCUUAAAGUAAACAUUAUAAAAUAAAUUUUAGUUAAGAUGUUCAAGAUUAUCCUUUCAUAUUUUAUGGCUGUGUGGUCUGCCUAGUCAAGGUGGCCGUUCUCUUGUUUUCUGUGCAUCCCCUGCUCAACUACUGCCUGCUUCACCUAUAGCCUACUCAGGUGAAUAUCCCAGGACCCAGCUGGGGAUUGUUCUUACCAAAGGGGCCAUGAGGUGCAUGCACCUCUGCUUGCUGGUUUCCCUGGUAACUAAUGAGCCCAUUUUAUGUAAUUUGAAAUUCCCCAUAUAACUGGCAAUCUUCCCCCUUCCCCCCAGCAACAGAGUAAGACUGUCACUGUGUACUGUUCGCAGAUAGCUGCAGUAGGUGGAUUUCUCUCCAGGAACUUGCUUCAGACAGCUCCUGGAUUCCUGGAUUCGCCUUCCUGGAUUCCUCACUGGACAUGCUAUAUCUUCUGGGACUAGGACACUGGGAUUUCCCUUGCUCAGUUCAUGCUGGAAGCUGAAGAUGAGCAGGGGGAAGAAUGGAUAGAUUGCCAGCAGCCUUAAUAUAAGAUCAAAAUCAGAUCCUUAUUCUGCAAUCACUCUUUUGUACCUGUGCCGGCAUAUACUGGGUAAUAUUUGGCCCUUCCCAUGGGCUUCCCUGGUGGCUCAUGUGGUAAAGAAUCUGCCUACAAUAUGGGAGACCUGGGUUCGAUCCCUGGGUUUGGAAGAUCCCCUGGGGGAGGGCACAGCAACCCACUCCAGUAUUCUUGCCUGGAGAAUCUCCAUGGACAGAGGAGCCUGGUGAGCUACAGUCCAUGGGGUUGCAAACAGUCGGACAUGAUUGAAUGACUAAGCACAUCACAAAAUAGUGAAGAAGUUUGGAGCACAGGGAUUUGGAGCUAGGGAAUUAUUCUGGCUGAUGUUUUGCCACAAGUAAUAAAUUGUCUAUGUCUCUAAUCUAGAAGUCUUAUGUCUUGCAAGAAAGGUAAAUAACUUGAAUCUUUCACAGUUCCUGAAUCAACAGACCCUCUCUAGCAUUCUAACCUAAUCUGCAACCUUUAUUUUUAAUUAUCUGAGCAUUGUACUCGCUACUCAUUAGACCAUUUUCCUUUAUACUGG